CUACGGGUCGCUCCAGUGGGGAAUCUUAGACAAUGGGGGAAACCCUGAUCUAGCCAUGUCGCGUGAGCGACGACGGCCCUAGGGUUGUAAAGCUCUUUCAGCAGGGAAGAUAAUGACGGUACCUGCAGAAGAAGUCCCGGCUAACUCCGUGCCAGCAGCCGCGGUAAUACGGAGGGGACUAGCGUUGUUCGGAAUUACUGGGCGUAAAGCGCGCGUAGGCGGAUUGUUAAGUCGGGGGUGAAAUCCCGGGGCUCAACCCCGGAACUACCCUCGAUACUGGCAGUCUUGAGUUCGAGAGAGGUGAGUGGAAUUCCGAGUGUAGAGGUGAAAUUCGUAGAUAUUCGGAGGAACACCAGUGGCGAAGGCGGCUCACUGGCUCGAUACUGACGCUGAGGUGCGAAAGCGUGGGGAGCAAACAGGAUUAGAUACCCGCGUAGUC
rnacentral:rRNA from 1 species